rnacentral:rRNA from 1 species
AGUCGAGCGAGUCUGCCUUGAAGAUCGGAGUGCUUGCACUCUGUGAAACAAGAUACAGGCUAGCGGCGGACGGGUGAGUAACACGUGGGUAACCUGCCCAAGAGAUCGGGAUAACACCUGGAAACAGAUGCUAAUACCGGAUAACAACAGAUGAUGCCUAUCAACUGUUUAAAAGAUGGUUCUGCUAUCACUCUUGGAUGGACCUGCGGUGCAUUAGCUAGUUGGUAGGGUAACGGCCUACCAAGGCGAUGAUGCAUAGCCGAGUUGAGAGACUGAUCGGCCACAUUGGGACUGAGACACGGCCCAAACUCCUACGGGAGGCAGCAGUAGGGAAUCUUCCACAAUGGACGCAAGUCUGAUGGAGCAACGCCGCGUGAGUGAAGAAGGGUUUCGGCUCGUAAAGCUCUGUUGUUGGUGAAGAAGGACAGGGGUAGUAACUGACCUUUGUUUGACGGUAAUCAAUUAGAAAGUCACGGCUAACUACGUGCCAGCAGCCGCGGUAAUACGUAGGUGGCAAGCGUUGUCCGGAUUUAUUGGGCGUAAAGCGAGUGCAGGCGGCUCGAUAAGUCUGAUGUGAAAGCCUUCGGCUCAACCGGAGAAUUGCAUCAGAAACUGUCGAGCUUGAGUACAGAAGAGGAGAGUGGAACUCCAUGUGUAGCGGUGAAAUGCGUAGAUAUAUGGAAGAACACCGGUGGCGAAGGCGGCUCUCUGGUCUGUUACUGACGCUGAGGCUCGAAAGCAUGGGUAGCGAACAGGAUUAGAUACCCUGGUAGUCCAUGCCGUANACGAUGAGUGCUAAGUGUUGGGAGGUUUCCGCCUCUCAGUGCUGUAGCUAACGCAUUAAGCACUCCGCCUGGGGAGUACGACCG